UGCUGCAAAGCUCUGGGCUGUCCCCAUGGUUGGCAUAUGCUCCUGUCCUGGGAGCAUCGCUUCUUAUCUGUCCAUGUGUCACCCACUCCCUCAGUCUGCUUUCUGGUCGGGGUGCUGAUGGAGCAAGGUUCAGCGACACUUCCAGCACACACGCCUUUAUUGCCGGGCAGGCUUCCAGAGCGCAAUGAGCAAACAGCAGGCCCUCUCUAAGCUUGUCUCCUCAACUCUGAAAGUAAAGAGGUGGCCUCCACUGCCUCCAUAUGGCCACCAGCCACAGAUGUCAUUUUUAAAUUUGAAAACAGAAUGCCAAGUAGCAAGCACUUUCACACAUGCAAAGCCUACACUUCCUAAGUCCCAUGACUCGUCACUAUGCUAGCCACACCAUCUGGCCAUUGCACUCGAAUUGUACGAUAACUGAGAGAUGUGCAGGCCUGAUGAGAUCGCCAGCAGCCACUGUGGUUUUCAGGACAUUGAUGAGCCCAUCUAUAGAGUGCCCCCAGGGUGCUGAGGGCUCCUACGGGAGCUCUGGUUAAGUAGCCCAUCCCCGGUUGUUCAGGUGAGUUACAAAGUCACUAAGGAGGGGGUCUGCCCUUUGAGCUCUGUCUGGCCGUUUCUAUCUGAAAUGCAUGCUUCUUCACCCCAGCAGGCCUCCACGAGACUCUGAGGGCUUCUGGAAUUUUGAGCGACAUUGCCCCACGACUUCCCUGGCUACUAUCACUUCACCUCCUCAGACGGGCUUUCAGAGCUGCCCUGGAUCACAGCCAGGAAAGCAAGAAUUACAUUUUACCUUUCCCAGGGGAGAGUCUAAGGAACAGCCAGGUUCCUUGCCUGAAGCCCACAGUAAGGUGGGCCUGGACUGCCUCUUCUGGCCAGAGGCUCUCACCUCCAGAGUGAGAGAAGGCUCAGGGCUCUUCCCUACGGCCCGGCAGGUCCCAGGAAAUAGUCAAGUGAUUAAAAUGACUUGAACAAAGUGAAUGUCAUGAGCUGAGGAAGAAGAAGGAAAACAGAAGCCAAAAACGGACAAAGGAAGAGGUUUGGAGAUGAGUGUUUGGUAUGCGGUCGAUUGUGUGCGUGUUCCUCUUUUUUCAUUCUGUUUCUCCCCUUUCUAUCACCCUCAUCUGAAAUACAUAGCAAAGAAAAAAUGUAAGCUUCAAGAGGAAAACCAUUUCCAAACAGUGAGGUUUAGCAAACACUGGCCUCAUAUCCGUAUUCCCCUUCUAAAAAAAUCUACACUUGGUUCCUCAUGCUCGCCUCAACGCCAGACCAAAGGUCAACUCUUGUUUUGGCCAUUGUGCAUAAGCACCACGUCCCCAAAUGAUUAGAAACUCCUGUUGACAGAUGAGAUAGGAGAUCUGUGGUCAGUGGCACUGCUCUGCAAACGCUGGCCACUCCUGCCCCCAGGUUCAGGAAAGGACGGUCCUUCUUGGGGCCCUGGUAGGUGGCUCCAUGGGGCUGGCUCUGGGCAGUUACUCAGGAUGGAAAUGGCACCUGCCACUUUUGGACUAGAACAUUUAAGUGCCAGAGCAUUUAAUCAUCCUCAGAACUCGCCUCUCUGCUGUGGUGACCAGCAGUGUUCCAGGCCAGAGAAAUCAAUUUUUCCUGUUCACUAAGAGUGAAUUGCUAUAGCACAGCCAAGCUUAUCUUGAUUGAUGCAAGAUUUGUUCAUUUUUGAGCUGCCUAAUAGCAAAAAUAUAAUAGGUGGAUGGACAGAUGGAGCUGGUAGAUAUGGUUCUUUGUCUAUAAAUCUCAACCACGAAUUUGCAAUUCCUCCAGAAUACAAAAUCCUACAAGGCAGGAACUGCAAAUGUUGUUAAAAUGAGAGACCCAUUAGAAACCAAAAAAAAAAAAAAAAAAAAAUGAAACUGAUGUUGACUUCUGGUUUAACAUACGUGGAGCACUCUAUACAAGACUUGCCCAUACACCUCAGAGAGAAAGUUCUUUAGCCUGGUGGCAAAUCUGUACAGGACAAGGUGUCAAGUUAUCCAGUUCCAACCAAGUGUCAUCAAUAACUAUUGUUGAUUUUACAGUUUCAACAAAAACACAAAGCAAAUGUGCUUUCAUCUUCAAACAAAGCAAUGCAUAAUAGUUGAAAGAGUAUUCGGUUAGGGUUAGAGAGAAGUCGGGGUAAUUCCUGUUUCCAUUAAAUUCUGGCUCUAGGAUCUUGGAAAAAAUCACAUAACUUCUCUACACCUCAUUUUUCUCAACUCUGGGUUGGAAAUACCACUUGACCUGUCUCCACCACAAGGCUGGUGAGUUUGAGGUUGCUUUAAAUGACUUGGUUUAAGCCCCUCGGCACACUGCAAUGUGUUUCAAGUACUCUGCUGUUUGUGCCUUGUGCCAAGAGGUGCUUCCUAACUAACUGCUACCAUUGGUAUUGUUGUUGUUCUACCGUCAGUACCCUUGCAAACAGCACCCUGUUAACUAUGCCAAGCUCAUGCCCAGAACAUACAUAAUGCGCCCCUUGUUAAUCAAGCUCCGACAGUGUCCUGAAGCCAGGAGGACAUUCAACAGGUGGUCUGUGGUCUCCGACAGAGGUGCCUUGAGACUUUCUGGUUGUUGAGAUCCACUCGUCCAUGAUACCAUGAGAAAGGGAGUUCUCUGCUGCGUGGAGAGGUUUUCCUAGCUACUGGACUCCUGAAAAGGGCCAAACCUGGCCAAAAAAGGUAUGGACAAAAUGUGUCUCGGUGACGCUCUGCUAGCCCUCACACACCCACUCUGUCUUGUGUCCCUAAGUCCGUCCUCCUCAGGGCAUCCCAAACCAGAAAUGCAUUUAAUGUGUGACCAACAGGGACAUUUCUGUUCUAGACUCAAUGCCUGAGAUGUAUUUGAGGGCAAGUGCUUUCUUUUUUUAUCGGCUACUAGGAAAUGUUGACUGAACAACUGAAACAACCAAAGGCUACAAAAUCUGCUCCAUCAUUUCAAGACUUGACAAACCUGCAUGUGGAAAUAUCGCAGAAGGGAGGCCAAGGCUCAGUACAUAAUCCAGCACAUUCAGGUGUAGGUACUGUUUUACCUACCUGAAUUGUAUAUGAUUUUAUUAUCGGUACAGCGUGAUAUUUUGACAUCUUAAAAAAAAACCUUUCUAGCUGUGGAGAGACUACCCUCUCCCUCUCAGGAGCUAGCCAAUUCUUAGAGAUUGCAAAGGGGCCGGCAAGCAUAGCUUUGAUAUGCAAACGAAGCAAUCCAGGCCCUACCUCCUCUUGCUGGACCUACCCAGUCCAGGAGGCAAAAUUCCUGUUUUUAUCAUCCCAGAACCAACUGGAGACUGCCCCAUAUUGGAGCCACAGAUAUUCAAACUUGCCAAUCCUGUCCUGCUCAUCGGGUCCUGUCUUGCCUUUCCCACAGGAAACCCUGGCCAAAACCCUCCCCUCACUCCUGUCUUCUGCUCACUUCCCACUUCCCAAAACCCAGUGCUCUCCCACUGUGAUCAUGCAGGGCAUGUGAUGACCUCUCUCUAUGACCUGUGAAUAUAAUAAACUUUGGAUGUUUUUGGUGUGUAUGUCUCUCCUGUGCCUCCUUCCUGUGGCCACACCUAACAUAUCAUAGAAAAGGAGACA
rnacentral:lncRNA from 1 species